UACGAAGGGGGCUAGCGUUGUUCGGAUUUACUGGGCGUAAAGGGCGCGUAGGCGGUGUCGUCAGUCAGGCGUGAAAGCCCCGGGCUCAACCCGGGAAUUGCGCUUGAUACUGCGGCACUUGAAUCCAGGAGAGGAUGGCGGAAUUCCCAGUGUAGAGGUGAAAUUCGUAGAUAUUGGGAAGAACACCGGUGGCGAAGGCGGCCAUCUGGCCUGGCAUUGACGCUGAGGCGCGAAAGCGUGGGGAGCAAACAGG
rnacentral:rRNA from 1 species